rnacentral:tRNA from 1 species
UUUUAGCUCAAUGGCUGAGCGUUGGCCUUGAGAGCCACAGGUCGGUGGUUCGAUUCCACCCGGGCGCAG